AUACUUACCUGUCAGGAGAGAUACCAUGAUCACCAAGGUGGUUUUCCCAGGGCGAGGCUUAUCCAUUGCACUCCGGUUGUGCUGACCCCUGCGAUUUCCCCAAAUAUGGGAAACUCGACUGCAUAAUUUGUGGUAGUGGGAGACUGAAUACGAGCUCUCCCC
rnacentral:snRNA from 1 species